rnacentral:rRNA from 1 species
GUGUCAGCCGCCGCGGUAAAACGUAGGAGACAAACGUUAUCCGGAGUUACUGGGCGUAAAGGGCGUGCAGGUGGUCAUUUAAGUUCGGCGUGAAAGCUCCUGGCUAAACCGGGAGAGGUCGUCGGAGACUGGAUGGCUAGAGGGUGAUAGAGGCGGGUGGAAUUCCGGGUGUAGUGGUGAAAUGCGUAGAGAUCCGGAGGAACACCAGUGGCGAAGGCGACCCGCUGGGUCACACCUGACACUGAGACGCGACAGCAUGGGGAGCGAACGGGAUUAGAUACCCGCGUAGUCC